rnacentral:lncRNA from 1 species
UUAAAACUACAUUAUGGUCUCAGAAUAGAUGGAUAUUGUGUCCUCAUUUGCUGUUGCUGGACAUAAUGGCAUGCUAGAAGCACGUUGCAGUCAGAUGGGCCUGUUCCUGCCUGGGGUAUAAUUUUAUCUGGCACAUGCGUGUUGCAGAAGUGUGCUUGGUAAUAUAGUUCAGUGAGAGAGAACAUAAACUCUCAGCCAUCCCAGAUAUGGAAACUGAUGAGCGCUGAGCCUUUGUGUCUAAUGACAUGAUAACCAUGAGCCAUUCCCUUGUAUGGUAAUGUCAGAUUUGCUUUGUUGCAGGGCCUGCACAUGCACAGAUGAACCUCACUACAUAAGGUGGUGCUCUGGGGGACUUCUCCAUGGAAAAGUUUGAAGUUGUACUCCUUUCACAAUGACUCUUGUGCUUUAUUACAGAGUUAAAAAUAAACCUAUUUUUAAAAGUCGGAAGCCUUCAAGUGUUGCUGCAGAAGCCGAAGGCUCUUUGGAACAUGUGAACACUACAGCACAGUAGUGCAUGGAAAGAAUGCUGUUAGGAGCUGUUUUUUGUUUUUUUGUUUUGUUUUGUUUUUUGAGUUGGAGGAUUUUAUUUUCAGAUGAUUUAUUGGUUUACAGUGUGGAUGUUUUUGCAGAUAUAAUGGUCUGUGUUCUGUAAGAUCUGACUUGUUUCAUAGUAGCUAUUCAGUGAUUAAAUAUGUUAACAUCAAAAGAACACAUUGCAGAAAGGUACUGGGACAUAACAUUUGUUAAAUGAGAUUACAAAGAGAUGGAGCCAACCUCCUAAUUUAAUAUAAACAUACCAUGUAAAUAGCCCGAAGUAGCUGCGACUUUUCAAGAAAUCAUGCUAUUCUGAGAAAUAGUUAAUAAAAUCCUGACUCGAUGUUGUGAAAUACUUUAAGAUAUUAUUCUCAUAUAUUUGUACCAUGAGGCUUUUUAAAACAACAAAAUAAAGCAACCGUCAAUC